GAUGAAGAACGUAGCAAAUGCGAUAAGUAAUGUGAAUUGCAGAAUUCAGUGAAUCAUCGAAUCUUUGAACGCACAUUGCGCCCCCUGGUAUUCCGGGGGGCAUGCCUGUCCGAGCGUCAUUACAACCCUCAAGCUCAGCUUGGUGUUGGGCCCCGCCGCCCCGGCGGGCCCUAAAGUCAGUGGCGGUGCCGUCCGGCUCCGAGCGUAGUAAUUCUUCUCGCUCUGGAGGUCCGGUCGUGUGCUCGCCAGCAACCCCCAAUUUUUUUCAGGUUGACCUCGGAUCAGGUAGGGAUACCCGCUGAACUUAAGCAUAUCAAUAAGCGGAGGA
rnacentral:misc_RNA from 1 species